CCCGAUUUUUACAUGAAUAAUCCUCAUACUGGAUGGAUUCUAACAAUAAUAAAAGGAAAGGAUAAUAUUUGAAUCUAGUGUUUUAGUCGAGUUGUUCUUGUAGCUAGAGGACGUUCGUUGCAAUAAGGGGAUUUGUUGCUAAAAAUGUGUAUUAAUCGCCUGCCUUUCGAGAUUGUCGAUCCAAAAUUGGAUCCUUUACCGAUCCCACUGGAGGAGGUUCUCAUCGAAGUACAAGCCCGCUGGUACUUGGAUUCGGACCCGAUUUUUUUGUUCGCGACUAACCAGUGUGAGAUCGAUUGGAUCCAUUCUGUGGCACCACCGUCACCCCCGCUGGAUGCUGAUGGUCGUGUUCUUACCCUAUUAGAGUAUAUGGUGGUCGAUUUGCACUUGCAUUUUACUGAUAAUGCCGAGGUUCGUGACAGUUAUUUAUUGGAAGUUUUCAGAAGUUUCCGUGACGUUCGAGAAAACAGGAAUAAUUUGCGGUUGUUGAACUCAAGUUUAAAAGGUUCCUCUAUCGUCUGGCUAUUCAAAAGGCGUUAAUGGUUGUAAAUUUUGGGGAAUAAAAGAAAAUUUUGAAUGGA